rnacentral:rRNA from 1 species
UACGAAGGGGGUGAGCGUUGUUCGGAAUUACUGGGCGUAAAGGGCGCGUAGGCGGCGACUCUAGUCAGAUGUGAAAGUCCUGGGCUUAACCUGGGGACUGCAUUUGAUACUGGGUUGCUUGAAUUCGGGAGAGGAUAGCGGAAUUCCCAGUGUAGAGGUGAAAUUCGUAGAUAUUGGGAAGAACACCGGUGGCGAAGGCGGCUAUCUGGACCGACAUUGACGCUGAGGCGCGAAAGCGUGGGGAGCAAACAGG